GGCUCAGAUUGAACGCUGGCGGCAGGCCUAACACAUGCAAGUCGAAUGGUAACAGGAAACAGCUUGCUGUUUCGCUGACGAGUGGCGGACGGGUGAGUAAUGUCUGGGAAACUGCCUGAUGGAGGGGGAUAACUACUGGAAACGGUAGCUAAUACCGCAUAACGUCGCAAGACCAAAGAGGGGGACCUUCGGGCCUCUUGCCAUCAGAUGUGCCCAGAUGGGAUUAGCUAGUCGGUGGGGUAACGGCUCACCUAGGCGACGAUCCCUAGCUGGUCUGAGAGGAUGACCAGCCACACUGGAACUGAGACACGGUCCAGACUCCUACGGGAGGCAGCAGUGGGGAAUAUUGCACAAUGGGCGCAAGCCUGAUGCAGCCAUGCCGCGUGUAUGAAGAAGGCCUUCGGGUUGUAAAGUACUUUCAGCGGGGAGGAAGGGAGUAAAGUUAAUACCUUUGCUCAUUGACGUUACCCGCAGAAGAAGCACCGGCUAACUCCGUG
rnacentral:rRNA from 1 species